GAGCGUGUCUCUACGUCCGCUACCUGGCGGACGUGUGAGUACACUGACGUAAAAGCCUCUCAGACCGGGGCCACAUAAGGAAUUUAUGCGCCUUACGGAUCGGUUUUGGAACGGAAGGUUCCAAAAGGAAAGGCGGGUUGCAGCUAACAAUGGGAAAUGGGCCUGCUUCCCAAUAAUUGGUCGUGGGGGAAAGGUCUAACCCGGUGGACAAUCCUAAGCCAACCGGAAGGGUGCCCGGCAAAAUGGGGACUGAGACACGGCCCAGACUCCUACGGUAGGCAGCAGUAGGGAAUUUUCCACAAUGGACGAGAGUCUGAUGGAGCAACGCCGCGUGAACGAUGAAGGUCUUCGGAUUGUAAAGUUCUGUUGUCAGGGACGAAUAAGUACCGUUCGAAUACGGCGCUACCUUGACCGUACCUGACGAGAAAGCACGCUCUAUCUACGUGCCAGCAGCCGCGGUAAUACGUAGGGGGAAGCGCUGCGCGGAUUUUUUGGGUAUAAAACGCGCGCAAGCGCGUGUGUAAGUCUGCUGGUAAUGC
rnacentral:rRNA from 1 species